rnacentral:rRNA from 1 species
UACGUAGGGUGCGAGCGUUGUCCGGAAUUAUUGGGCGUAAAGGGCUCGUAGGCGGUUUGUCGCGUCGGGAGUGAAAACCUCGGGCUUAACUCGGGGCUUGCUUUCGAUACGGGCAGACUAGAGGUAUGCAGGGGAGAACGGAAUUCCUGGUGUAGCGGUGAAAUGCGCAGAUAUCAGGAGGAACACCGGUGGCGAAGGCGGGAUCCUGGGCCAGUACUGACGCUGAGGAGCGAAAGCGUGGGGAGCAAACAGG